rnacentral:rRNA from 1 species
UACGUAGGGUGCAAGCGUUAAUCGGAAUUACUGGGCGUAAAGCGUGCGCAGGCGGUUUUGUAAGUCUGUCGUGAAAUCCCCGGGCUCAACCUGGGAAUGGCGAUGGAGACUGCAAGGCUAGAAUCUGGCAGAGGGGGGGUAGAAUUCCACGUGUAGCAGUGAAAUGCGUAGAUAUGUGGAGGAACACCGAUGGCGAAGGCAGCCCCCUGGGAUAACACUGACGCUCAUGCACGAAAGCGUGGGGAGCAAACAGG